AUUGAACGCUGGCGGCAUGCUUUACACAUGCAAGUCGAACGGUAACAGGGUGCUUGCACCGCUGACGAGUGGCGAACGGGUGAGUAAUGCGUCGGAACGUGCCGAGUAGUGGGGGAUAACGCAUCGAAAGGUGUGCUAAUACCGCAUACGUACUGAGGUAGAAAGUGGGGGACCUUCGGGCCUCACGCUAUUCGAGCGGCCGACGUCUGAUUAGCUAGUUGGUGAGGUAAAGGCUCACCAAGGCGACGAUCAGUAGCGGGUCUGAGAGGAUGAUCAGCCACACUGGGACUGAGACACGGACCAGACUCCUACGGGAGGCAGCAGUGGGGAAUGUUGAACAAUGGGCGAAAGCCUGAUCCAGCCAUGCCGCGUGUCUGAAGAAGGCCCUCGGGUUGUAAAGGACUUUUGUCCGGGAGCAAAUACCCAGUGCUAAUAACGCUGGGGGCUGAGAGUACCGGAAGAAUAAGCACCGGCUAACUACGUGCCAGCCGCCGCUGUAACAC
rnacentral:rRNA from 1 species